rnacentral:misc_RNA from 1 species
UGGGCACCUGCUGCAAAGGAAACCGAGCAGAUCCGGCGCCGGCGAGCAGCGGCGCCCUCUGCGGCAAGCCAACGACGGAGAACUUAGGACAAGGAACGGAGAUCGACGCCAUUGCACACAAACAAAACCCCUAACCCUAGCCGGAGAGGAUUAGCUCAGAUCGGAGUGAACGACGGAGAGGGGAGGGAGUCGAGAUAAAGAGCGGAGACGGCGGAGAGAUCAAAGGUGGGGUGGUUCUCUCGGUUAUG